GAACGCACAUUGCGCCCCAUGGUAUUCCGUGGGGCAUGCCUGUUCGAGCGUCAUCUACACCCUCAAGCACUGCUUGGUGUUGGGCGUCUGUCCCGCCUUUGCGCGUGGACUCGCCCCAAAGUCAUUGGCAGCGGUCUCUGGCACCUCAACGCGCAGUACAAUGCGUUCAUUGGGGUGCCGUGGGCGCGACCAUAAAGCUAUUUACCGUCUUUGACCUCGGAUCAGGUAGGGAUACCCGCUGAACUUAAG
rnacentral:misc_RNA from 1 species